GAUGAACGCUAGCGGCAGGCCUAAUACAUGCAAGUCGAGGGGUAACACAGGUAGCAAUACUGGGUGACGACCGGCGCACGGGUGCGUAACACGUAUAUAAUCUGCCCUUAUCAGGAGGAUAGCCCGGAGAAAUUCGGAUUAAUACUCCAUAACAUUGCUUUGUGGCAUCACAGAGCAAUUAAAGUUCCGACGGAUAAGGAUGAAUAUGCGACUGAUUAGCUAGUUGGUGAGGUAACGGCUCACCAAGGCGACGAUCAGUAGGGGUACUGAGAGGUUAAACCCCCACACUGGUACUGAGACACGGACCAGACUCCUACGGGAGGCAGCAGUAAGGAAUAUUGGACAAUGGAGGCAACUCUGAUCCAGCCAUGCCGCGUGCAGGAAGAAGGCGCUACGCGUUGUAAACUGCUUUUAUAACAGAGAAAACCCCGGUACAUGUACUGGGUUGAUAGUAUGUUAAGAAUAAGCAUCGGCUAACUUCGUGCCAGCCGCCGCGGUAAUAC
rnacentral:rRNA from 1 species